GACGAACGCUGGCGGCGCGCCUAACACAUGCAAGUCGAACGGAGCUUAGAGAGCUUGCUUUUUAAGCUUAGUGGCGAACGGGUGAGUAACGCGUGAGUAACCUGCCCUAGAGUGGGGGACAACAGUUGGAAACGACUGCUAAUACCGCAUAAGCCCACGGUACCGCAUGGCACUGAGGGAAAAGGAUUUAUUCGCUUUAGGAUGGACUCGCGUCCAAUUAGCUAGUUGGUGAGGUAACGGCCCACCAAGGCGACGAUUGGUAGCCGGACUGAGAGGUUGAACGGCCACAUUGGGACUGAGACACGGCCCAGACUCCUACGGGAGGCAGCAGUGGGGGAUAUUGCACAAUGGGGGAAACCCUGAUGCAGCAACGCCGCGUGGAGGAAGAAGGUUUUCGGAUCGUAAAACUCCUGUCCUUGGAGACGAGUAGAAGACGGUAUCCAAGGAGGAAGCCCCCGGCUAAACUACGUG
rnacentral:rRNA from 1 species